rnacentral:lncRNA from 1 species
GAGAAACUUUUAGAAGAAUGAAACACCAGAUUCAUAAUUGAGAAUAAAACCACAAAAUCAUUGAAGUUGAGGAGAAAUCAAGGGGAUUCAAGAAGAUUUGGAGAUCAAGAUUUCAAUUCUUGGGUUCUUUUUAUCUUUUUGUUAUUCUUUUCUUGGUUUUUGUUUUUGAUGUUCAAACUUAAUUUGAUGAUGAUGAUGAUGUGUGACUUGAUGAGGAACUAAAUUAUUUAUCUAAGAUUAUGAUUGAACUCAAUACAUAGUUUGGUUAAUUUAUCUUUCUUUUGCUUAUGUUUGAUGGUUUUUAAGUUGUUUAUUCUAUUUUGUUCUUAAUGCUUCUAGUUGAUUGAUUACCAAUAAGAUUGAAUUGGAAACCUAAGUUAAACUUUGACGAAGGAGAUUUAGGUAG